rnacentral:rRNA from 1 species
AUUGAACGCUGGCGGCAGGCCUAACAUAUGCGAGUCGAGCGGAUGAAGGGAGCUUGCUCCUGGAUUCAGCGGCGGACGGGUGAGUAAUGCCUAGGAAUCUGCCUGGUAGUGGGGGAUAACGUCCGGAAACGGGCGCUAAUACCGCAUACGUCCUGAGGGAGAAAGUGGGGGAUCUUCGGACCUCACGCUAUCAGAUGAGCCUAGGUCGGAUUAGCUAGUUGGUGGGGUAAAGGCCUACCAAGGCGACGAUCCGUAACUGGUCUGAGAGGAUGAUCAGUCACACUGGAACUGAGACACGGUCCAGACUCCUACGGGAGGCAGCAGUGGGGAAUAUUGGACAAUGGGCGAAAGCCUGAUCCAGCCAUGCCGCGUGUGUGAAGAAGGUCUUCGGAUUGUAAAGCACUUUAAGUUGGGAGGAAGGGCAGUAAGUUAAUACCUUGCUGUUUUGACGUUACCAACAGAAUAAGCACCGGCUAACUUCGUG